ACGCUGGCGGCGGCCUAACACAUGCAAGUCGAGCGCACCCCUUCGGGGGCGAGCGGCGGACGGGUUAGUAACGCGUGGGAAUGUACCCUUCUCUACGGAAUAGCCUCGGGAAACUGAGAGUAAUACCGUAUACGCCCUUUUGGGGAAAGAUUUAUCGGAGAAGGAUCAGCCCGCGUAAGAUUAGAUAGUUGGUGGGGUAAUGGCCUACCAAGUCUACGAUCUUUAGCUGGUUUUAGAGGAUGAUCAGCAACACUGGGACUGAGACACGGCCCAGACUCCUACGGGAGGCAGCAGUGGGGAAUCUUGGACAAUGGGCGCAAGCCUGAUCCAGCCAUGCCGCGUGUGUGAUGAAGGCCUUAGGGUCGUAAAGCACUUUCGCUAGGAGAUGAUNAUGACAGUAUCUAGUANAGAAGUCCCGGCUAACUCCGUGCCAGCAGCCGCGGUAAUACGGAGGGGACUAGCGUUGUUCGGAAUUACUGGGCGUAAAGCGUACGUAGGCGGGAUCAGAAAGUAUGGGGUGAAAUCCCAGGGCUCAACCCUGGAACUGCCUCANAAACUCCUGGUCUANAGUUCGAGAGAGGUGAGUGGAAUUCCGAGUG
rnacentral:rRNA from 1 species